ACAUGUCUUUUUGGUAUUUAAUAUAAAGUCUGACCUGCCCACUGAAUUUAUUUUGAAGGGCCGCAGUAUUUUGACUGUGCAAAGGUAGCAUAAUCAUUAGUCUUUUAAUUGAAGGCUGGUAUGAAUGGUUGGAUGAGGUACAAGCUGUGUCAUAAAAAUUAAUAGUUGAAUUUACCUUUUUAGUCAAAAGGCUAAAAUGAAAUUAAAAGACGAGAAGACCCUAUAGAGCUUUAUAUAAUUUAUAUUUAAAUUAUUAAGAUUUUUUAAAUUUAAUUAUUAUUUUGUAUUUUGUUGGGGUGACAAUAAAAUUUAUAAAACUUUUAUUUUUAAUUUACAUUUAUUUAUGGUUACAUGAUCCAGUUUUAUUGAUUAUAAAUUUAAGUUACCUUAGGGAUAACAGCGUAAUUUUUUUUGAGAGUUCUUAUCGACAAAAAAGAUUGCGACCUCGAUGUUGGAUUAAGAGUAAUUUUGGGUGUAGAAGUUCAAAGUUUAAGUCUGUUCGACUUUUAAAUUCUUACAUGAUC
rnacentral:rRNA from 1 species